GACACUUUGGCCGAGUGGUUAAGGCGACAGACUUGAAUCUUAUCUCCUGAUAUAGAUUCCGACAUCUGUUUCAUUCGUGAGCGCAGGUUCGAACCCUGCAGGUGUCG
rnacentral:tRNA from 1 species